rnacentral:rRNA from 1 species
GAUCCUGGCUCAGAUUGAACGCUGGCGGCAGGCUUAACACAUGCAAGUCGAGCGGGGAAGGUUGCUUCGGUAACUGACCUAGCGGCGGACGGGUGAGUAAUGCUUAGGAAUCUGCCUAUUAGUGGGGGACAACAUUCCGAAAGGAAUGCUAAUACCGCAUACGCCCUACGGGGGAAAGGCAGGGGAUCUUCGGACCUUGCGCUAAUAGAUGAGCCUAAGUCGGAUUAGCUAGUUGGUGGGGUAAAGGCCUACCAAGG